rnacentral:lncRNA from 1 species
CACACACACACACACACACACACACACACACACACACACACACACACACACACACACACACACACACACAAUGCUCCUAUUCCAUAUAGAUUAAAAAGAGGUUGUCAGCAGUGGUAUCUAAAUAGAUGGAUAUCGAUCUAAUACCAAAAACUAUUUAAAGCCAAUACAACUCUAAUUAAAGAGAAAUUGAACCCCGGUGAGAGCUGGUGAACGUUGUAUGUUUAUAUGCCAAUGACAAGAUAAUUACGUUUGGUGAAUGGGACCAGCUGAGUGUGUUUGUUUUCACUUAGAAACAGUUCAACAAGUUCAACAAAUGCUAGGGACCUAGCAUUUAAAACAACAUCUUUACACAAGUUGUGACAUCGCCAAUGAACUGAACAUGACAGUCUAUGAGAGAGAGCACAUCAGCUGCACUGGAGAGCUACCAUACAUCCAGUCCAUGUCAGAGUCCUCUCUUUGGUGAAUCUUUAGCUUGGCUAGUCAACUUUUCAAUAAGUGCUGUAGAGAAUGCAUGUAGUUUCUGCUUUCAGAUGACCCCUGCAUUUCUGCCAGAGGACUCAGAGAGAAGUGCUUGUGUGUGUGCUGUACAAGGCCUGGGCUGAAACACCAUCCCUGUCUAAAUAUUGUUGCAUGCAGCAGUUGCCCACAGGCUUCCAAGGAGAGAUGUAAGAGAGUGAGGCAUUGAUUCCACAUGCUCCUCCAUCCCAGUCACACCUCAACUACGUGCAUCCAGCGAGUCAUCUAGCAAAACACACCACCAUAUCCUCCACCUCCUACAAACCGACUCGCGCUCAGCCUCACAUCCAGACAGUCCUCCACCAUGACACACUUGACCAUAUCCUCCACCUCCUACAAACCGACUCGCGCUCAGCCUCACAUCCAGACAGUCCUCCACCAUGACACACUUGACCAUAUCCUCCACCUCCUACAAACCGACUCGCGCUCAGCCUCACAUCCAGACAGUCCUCCACCAUGACACACUUGACCAUAUCCUCCACCUCUUACAAACCGACUCGCGCUCAGCCUCACAUCCGGACAGUCCUCCACCAUGACACACUUGACCAUAUCCUCCACCUCCUACAAACCGACUCGCGCUCAGCCUCACAUCACAUCCGACAAUCCUCCACCAUGACACACUUGACCAUAUCAUCCAACAGUCCAAUAUUAAUAAUCAGCGUGGUUAUUCAAACACAGACCCGCAUCACUAUCAGAUAGUCUUGUCGUCUUGUAUGCUGUAACAUAGGCCACAAUCAAGCUGUCUACUUACAUAUUCACACACAAUCACAUAUUGAAUCCGUAACAAAACACUUUUACGUUGUCACUGAUUUAAAUACACACACUUCAAUGCAUUCACCAGUCUAGAUACUGAACUAUCCACUCUAGCCACUCAGCAAAAUGCUCAAAUUCUAGCCAGCACCGUCUCCCACUCAAUGUUAUAACCUUCAGGUAAGAAUCUUGUAUCCAUUCCUGCCAAUGGGGCAUUGGGUGUUGUGAUAAUAUUUUGACACAAGGGGACACCAGUAUUCCAUCUCAGGGGAGUAGAGACGGACCAGGGCAGGGGGAAGAUCUCCCUCUCAGUGGACUAGAGACUGACCAGGGCAGGGGGAAGAUUGACCAGGGCAGGGGGAAGAUUUCCCUCUCAGGGGACUAGAGACUGACCAGGGCAGGGGGAAGAUUUCCCUCUCAGGGGAGUAGAGAUGGACCAGGGCAGGGGGAAGAUCUCCCUCUCAGUGGACUAGAGACUGACCAGGGCAGGGGGAAGAUCUCCCUCUCAGUGGACUAGAGACUGACCAGGGCAGGGGGAAGAUCUCCCUCUCAGGGGAGUAGAGACUGACCAGGGCAGGGGGAAGAUCUCCCUCUCAGGGGACUAGAGACUGACCAGGGCAGGGGGAAGAUCUCCCUCUCAGGGGAGUAGAGACUGACCAGGGCAGGGUGGAAGAGCUCCCUCUCAGGGGACUAGAGACUGACCAGGGCAGGGGGAAGAUCUCCCUCUCAGGGGAGUAGAGACGGACCAGGGCAGGGGGGAAGAUCUCCCUCUCAGGGGAGUAGAGACGGACCAGGGCAGGGGGAAGAUCUCCCUCUCAGGGGACUAGAGACUGACCAGGGCAGGGGGGAAGAUCUCCCUCUCAGGGGACUAGAGACUGACCAGGGCAGGGGGAAGAUCUCCCUCUCAGGGGACUAGAGACUGACCAGGGCAGGGGGAAGAUUUCCCUCUCAGGGGAGUAGAGAUGGACCAGGGCAGGGGGAAGAUCUCCCUCUCAGUGGACUAGAGACUGACCAGGGCAGGGGGAAGAUCUCCCUCUCAGGGGAGUAGAGACUGACCAGGGCAGGGGGAAGAUCUCCCUCUCAGGGGACUAGAGACUGACCAGGGCAGGGUGGAAGAGCUCCCUCUCAGGGGACUAGAGACUGACCAGGGCAGGGGUAAGAUCGCCCUCUCAGGGGACUAGAGACUGACCAGGGCAGGGGGAAGAUCUCCCUCUCAGGGGAGUAGAGACUGACCAGGGCAGGGUGGAAGAGCUCCCUCUCAGGGGACUAGAGACGGACCAGGGCAGGGGGAAGAUCUCCCUCUCAGUGGACUAGAGACUGACCAGGGCAGGGGGAAGAUCUCCCUCUCAGGGGACUAGAGACUGACCAGGGCAGGGGGAAGAUUUCCCUCUCAGGGGAGUAGAGACGGACCAGGGCAGGGGGAAGAUCUCCCUCUCAGGGGAGUAGAGAGGGACCAGGGCAGGGGGAAGAUCUCCCUCUCAGGGGACUAGAGACUGACCAGGGCAGGGGGAAGAUUUCCCUCUCAGGGGAGUAGAGACUGACCAGGGCAGGGGGAAGAUCUCCCUCUCAGUGGAGUAGAGACUGACCAGGGCAGGGGGAAGAUCUCCCUCUCAGGGGAGUAGAGACUGACCAGGGCAGGGGGAAGAUCUCCCUCUCAGGGGAGUAGAGACUGACCAGGGCAGGGGGAAGAUCUCCCUCUCAGGGGACUAGAGACUGACCAGGGCAGGGGGAAGAUCUCCCUCUCAGGGGAGUAGAGACUGACCAGGGCAGGGGGAAGAUCUCCCUCUCAGGGGAGUAGAGACGGACCAGGGCAGGGGGGAAGAUCUCCCUCUCAGGGGAGUAGAGACGGACCAGGGCAGGGGGGAAGAUCUCCCUGUCAGGGGAGUAGAGACAGACCAGGGCAGGGGGAAGAUCUCCCUCUCAGGGGAGUACCGACGGACCAGGGCAGGGGGGAAGAUCUCCCUCUCAGGGGAGUAGAGACUGACGAGGGCAGGGGGAAGAUCUCCCUCUCAGGGGACUAGAGACUGACCAGGGCAGGGGGAAGAUCUCCCUCUCAGGGGAGUAGAGAGGGACCAGGGCAGGGGGAAGAUCUCCCUCUCAGUGGAGUAGAGACUGACCAGGGCAGGGGGAAGAUCUCCCUCUCAGGGGAGUAGAGACUGACCAGGGCAGGGGGAAGAUCUCCCUCUCAGGGGAGUAGAGACUGACCAGGGCAGGGGGAAGAUCUCCCUCUCAGGGGACUAGAGACUGACCAGGGCAGGGGGAAGAUCUCCCUCUCAGGGGAGUAGAGACUGACCAGGGCAGGGGGAAGAUCUCCCUCUCAGGGGAGUAGAGACGGACCAGGGCAGGGGGGAAGAUCUCCCUCUCAGGGGAGUAGAGACGGACCAGGGCAGGGGGGAAGAUCUCCCUGUCAGGGGAGUAGAGACAGACCAGGGCAGGGGGAAGAUCUCCCUCUCAGGGGAGUACCGACGGACCAGGGCAGGGGGAAGAUCUCCCUCUCAGGGGAGUAGAGACUGACGAGGGCAGGGGGAAGAUCUCCCUCUCAGGGGACUAGAGACUGACCAGGGCAGGGGGAAGAUCUCCCUCUCAGGGGAGUAGAGAGGGACCAGGGCAGGGGGAGAUCUCUAUAACUGGGAAGUGGGGUGUAAAACAUGUCCUUAAGGCCGUUUUUGUAAUAAAAACUCUCCCUGCUAACAAGCACAUCCAAAUACUGAAAACACACUCCCUCUUCAUUCACCCACAGAACAAUAUUUCUACAAUGUCCUCCUCACCAUUCUACUCCACUGCAUCCAAGCUAAAUGUCACCACAUUAUUACACACAUCCGAAAUAAAACAGUUACUCACGCCUUCCAUUAAGUGAAUAAAUAUGGCUCCCUGGGCUUGCUAGUGCUCUCGACCAGAGAACAAUUUAUGAAUAAAUCCCUAGCUUGAUUUACUGUUUUUAUAGAGGAAGUCUGGCAUAUUUCUCCAAUCCUGUUUUGGAGAGGGUUUGAUUAUUUUCCAGAGUUUCUUCAAUGUUUUUCUGUGUUUGAGAUGACGGAUUGUGCAGAGAGGAGAGAGCUUGUGUGGUCUGUCACACAACUUGGACACUGAAGGAAGUCAGAUUUCACAGCAACUUGAGAUCUACAGAGAUGACCAUACUGCUGGGAUAAGGGACUAGAGCAGUUUGUCAUAACCAGGGCACCAUGUCAGUAUUGACUGAUGUUAAGUAAGGAAUAGUUGCAGGUAAAUGUCAGUGCUACAACUGAAGUCAUUGACCUUAAAAAAAUACAGUGGUGUUAGAAGGUCCUGGGAAACAUAACCAGAGGGGAUAUUUUGUGUCAAAGUUGACCCCUUCAUGACUGAGUAGUUUAGUGGAUAGACCCACAAACAGACAGGCAGUAAGGCAGCAAGUAGGCAGGCAAGCUGGCAGCCAGGCAGCCAGGCAAGCAGGCAGCCAGGCAGCCAGGCAAGCAGGCAGCCAGGCAAGCCUACAGUGGUGUCAGUGGUGCAAUGCAUUGCACAUCCGCUCUCUCACCUUCCAGGCACACAGUGGGGACGAUGAGAGCUGACGGGCCAGGCUAGACCAGACGGCAGGGAUGAGAGCUGACAGACCAGACCAGACUACAGAGAUGAGAUCUGACGGACCAGACCAGACAGCAGAGAUGAGAUCUGACAGGCCAGACCAGACUGCAGAGAUGAGAUCUGACGGACCAGACCAGACAGCAGAGAUGAGAUCUGACGGACCAGACCAGACAGCAGAGAUGAGAUCUGACGGACCAGACCAGACAGCAGAGAUGAGAUCUGACGGACCAGACCAGACUACAGAGAUGAGAUCUGACAGGCCAGACCAGACUGCAGAGAUGAGAUCUGACGGACCAGACCAGACAGCAGAGAUGAGAUCUGACGGACCAGACCAGACAGCAGAGAUGAGAUCUGACGGACCAGACCAGACAGCAGAGAUGAGAUCUGACGGACCAGAC